AAGAUACUAGUAAAAUGAGUAUUACACUGCCUUGUCAAGGCAAAAUUGUAGGUUUAACUCCUGCGUAUCUUA
rnacentral:tRNA from 1 species